GAUACUGUCUUGCUUGAGGAUGGGAGAGGUUAGUGGAAUCCCAGUGUAGAGGUGAAAUUCGUAGAGAUUGGGAAGAACACCAGUGGCGAAGGCGACUGACUGGACCAUAACUGACGCUGAGGCACGAAAGUGUGGGGAUCAAACAGGAUUAGAUACCCUGGUAGUCCACACCGUAAACGAUGUAUGCUAGACGCUGGAUGGCUUAGCCAUUCUGUGUCGCCGCUAACGCAUUAAGCAUACCGCCUGGGGAGUACGGCCGCAAGGUUGAAACUCAAAGAAAUUGACGGGGGCCCGCACAAGCGGUGGAGUAUGUGGUUUAAUUCGACGCAACGCGAAGAACCUUACCAAGAUUUGACAUGGGAAGUAUGGGCCUCUGAAAGGAGGCUCUUCAGUUCGGCUGGCUUCCACACAGGUGCUGCAUGGCUGUCGUCAGCUCGUGUCGUGAGAUGUUGGGUUAAAGUCCCGGCAACGAGCGCAACCCUUGCCACUAAUUGCCAUCAGUGAGUUGGGCACUUUAGUGGGACUGCCGGUGACAAACCGGAGGAAGGUGGGGAUGACGUCAAGUCCUCAUGGCCCUUAUGGGUAGGGCUUCACACGUCAUACAAUGGCGCGCACAGAGGGCUGCGAACCCGCGAGGGGGAGCCAAUCCUUGAAGACGCGUCGUAGUCCGGAUUGCAGUCUGCAACUCGACUGCAUGAAGUCGGAAUCGCUAGUAAUCGCGGAUCAGCAUGUC
rnacentral:rRNA from 1 species